CCUUUGACGUUAGCGGCGGACGGGUGAGUAACACGUGGGUAACCUACCUAUAAGACUGGGAUAACUUCGGGAAACCGGAGCUAAUACCGGAUAAUAUUUCGAACCGCAUGGUUCGAUAGUGAAAGGUGGUUUUGCUAUCACUUAUAGAUGGACCCGCGCCGUAUUAGCUAGUUGGUAAGGUAACGGCUUACCAAGGCGACGAUACGUAGCCGACCUGAGAGGGUGAUCGGCCACACUGGAACUGAGACACGGUCCAGACUCCUACGGGAGGCAGCAGAG
rnacentral:rRNA from 1 species